UCCGGUUUUUCACCGGCAGUCUCUUUAGAGUGCUCAGCAUAACCUGGUGGCAACUAAAGACAGGGGUUGCGCUCGUUGCGGGACUUAACCCAACAUCUCACGACACGAGCUGACGACAACCAUGCAGCACCUCUGCGGACUCCCUUGCGGGUCAGCCACUGUUUCCAACAGCUUACCAUCCGUACAUGUCAAGGGUAGGUAAGGUUCUUCGCGUUGCGUCGAAUUAAACCACAUGCUCCACCGCUUGUGCGGGCCCCCGUCAAUUCCUUUGAGUUUCAACCUUGCGGUCGUACUCCCCAGGCGGGGUACUUCCUGCGUUAGCGCCGGCACCCAGAGGGUCGCUCCCCCAGGCACCUAGUACCCAUCGUUUACGGCGUGGACUAC
rnacentral:misc_RNA from 1 species